UUGGAGACCUCAAAUCAGGUAGGACUACCCGCUGAACUUAAGCAUAUCAAUAAGCGGAGGAAAAGAAACUAACAAGGAUUCCCCUAGUAACUGCGAGUGAAGCGGGAAAAGCUCAAAUUUGAAAUCUGGCGGUUCUUGACCGUCCGAGUUGUAGUCUAGAGAAGUGUUACCUGUGCUGGACCGUGUAAAAGUCUUCUGGAAUGGAGCAUCAUAGAGGGUGAGAAUCCCGUCUUUGACACGGACUACCUGUACAUUAUGGUGYGCUCUCAAAGAGUCGAGUUGUUUGGGAAUGCAGCUCAAAAUGGGUGGUAAAUGCCAUCUAAAGCUAAAUAUUGGCGAGAGACCGAUAGCGAACAAGUACCGUGAGGGAAAGAUGAAAAGAACUUUGGAAAGAGAGUUAAACAGUACGUGAAAUUGCUGAAAGGGAAACGCUUGAAGUCAGUCGCGUUGGCUGGAAAUCAACCUUGCUCUUGCUUGGUGUACUUUCUGGUUGACGGGUCAGCAUCAAUUUUGACCGCUGGAUAAAGUCUUUGGGAAUGUGGCAUCUUAGGAUGUGUUAUAGCCCAUUGUCGCAUACAGUGGUUGGGAUUGAGGAACUCAGCACGCCGCAAGGCCGGGUUUCGACCACGUUCGUGCUUAGGAUGCUGGCAUAAUGGCUUUAAUCGACCCGUC
rnacentral:rRNA from 1 species